rnacentral:lncRNA from 1 species
AGAAAGUAGAACAGUGGUUUUCCAGGGGCUAGGGGUAAGAAACAAUGGGAAUGAUUGUUUCAUGGGCAUAGAGUUUCAGCUUGGGAUGAGGAAGUCAUUCUGGAGAUGGAUGGUGGAGAUGGCUGCACAACAAUUUGAAGGUACUUCCAAGCUUAGCUGAGGAUCCUCCACCCCUUAACCUGAGAUUUGUUGUAACAUCCCGUCUUCAUGGAUUCACAUAGAAUACCUGCAUGAAACUUUUAGAAGACUGAACAUCCACAUUUUGCUCCCUUAAUGGAGACAGCCUGCCAGAAGGAAUAUCCAUUACAACCUGGGAAAUGCAAACAGCUUAUUGCUAUUUCUAUAAAGUGGUCUGGACAUGAAAUUAAAUAGGACUGGGGAAGGUAGUGCUGAAAUCAGCUUCUUUUGUUAAUGAAUAAUAAGCAGCUGGCGAAAAGGAGGAGUGGAGGGGAGAAAAAAGAAAACAAGGAACUGGAACCACUGAAAACACAAAUGAAAGGGGAAUUUCACACUUAGCCAAAAAUUCAGGGAAAAUAAAAUAAAACUUUGUUUUUAAUAGAGUCUUUCUUUUAAAAGUUGAUUUAUCUUAAAGAUAGAAAGUCGUUAAUCUUCUCCAGGUUUUACAUUCCUAGCAGAUAGCUAACAUUUAGCCACUUUGUUGUUUGUUGUUGUUGUUGUUGUUGUUGAGACACAGCCUCACUCUGUCGCCCAGGCUGGAGUUCAGUGGCGUGAUCGCGGCUCACUGCAGCCUCUGCU